GGAUGCAUUAUGUUUUCUUGGCUGUUUUCCUACCGUACUACCAGGCCUUUAUUUAAUUUUUUAUUAUUAUUUUAUGUAAACUUAUAAACCAGUGUAUUACGUUUUUGCGCGUAGUAACCAGAUUGAAUUUGUGCAAAAAAAUCAGCCUUUCUAAAACAUUAUUUAAUGUUAUUAAGUAUUAUACGAGGUAGUACUCGUAUGUCCUUCAUAUUCCAGGCCCCCGUUCUCAGUUUAGCGCACUACAAUUCUGACGUUGUGAAACCUGCAGAAGGUUUAUCCUCUCUUUCCACGUACUUCUCAAAAGAACACUCUGAAUUUGUGUUACUGACUAAGGAAAUGAAAAACAACGCAGUCCUUCUGUUACUCUCGUUCUCUAUAUGUUGGAUGGGCGGAUGUGCGGAAGAUACAUUGUGCGCUUUACCUUACCCCUUCCGGUCCGAUCCCCCUCCGCCCCAAAGAAUUAUGAAUGCCAUGUGCCACGUUUACCCGGAUAUGUUCAACAGUCCCCUGGAGACGUGCAAAAACCUGUAUCUACUUGACAAGUCGAUCUUCUCUUAUUUUAUGUGGUGUUGCUCUGUUUGGAGCCGGAACCCGUACUGUGAGAAAAAUCAGUAUCCACCCGCGCGACCACAGAAUAAAAACUAAAAAAAAUGAAUAAAAAUAAAUCAUAUUCUGCACGGACGUGAUAAUAUGUAACUCCGUCAUCGCAGGUACUGUGCGCGAUUUUCGCCAGAAUGGUCACAAUUACCACAGUAAAUUAAGCGGUGAUUCAGUAUACUUUGUAAUCUUCGUCUGUGUUAUUUAUUAUUCGCGUUAAGCCCGUUUUGUAGUCUCUGUCACGACGUUCCCGCAGAGCGUACUACUUUUCAGGUCGAAUAAAGCAUAAAAAGA